CAUUUUAGAAACAAUUACAAAAUAUUACAUUGAAUUCUUAAAGCUUGCCCGCGUAAUUAACGAGGUGUGGGCUCCGCCGAUAAGUUACAGGCAUAACUUAGAAAAAGAUAACGUUGAACCGAACGAGAGGGGGCAGACGUGCAGCAUGUUCAUCAGAUGUUAAAUAAUGACCCAUGGACACUUACUAUGCUAGAAGGCUCGAGAGUACGAUGCCGGUCUUUUAAAAAUUGGAUUACUAUUUUCAAUAGGAAUCUCAGGAGCAGCCAGUCAGUGUUACAUUUGUAUCACGUAGACGUACAUAGAUAAAUAGAUACUUAUUCUAUGUUCUAUGAUGUUCUACGUCAUCAUCUUCUACUCUCGCCUACUCCUAACUAUUCAGUAUAACGCGUCUGAAAGGUAUGCUUGCGUCAUCAGGCCGUUAAAAGGAAUUAACAUUAUUACUUCUGCAUGUUAAAUGUCAAUCCACGCGCGCAAUGUGGUCAAAGUGCUCCUCAAGUAUAAUUUAUGACGUAACACCAUGACCUAAUCAAUAAUUACGAUAGAUGCAGAACGAAUUAGUUCCUGCCUUACUCAAUGGUGCUCAUACAAUAAGGGGUCAUCCCACAAUACAGAUCGACACCAAUUCAUCGAUAGUUAAAAAAAUAUCGAUUUCCGUAAAUAAGUGUAGAACAUUUAUAAUAAUGAUGAAUAGGCCGGUCGAUUGCGCAUCGAAUCGGACAGCCGAUGCGAUCACUGAUCGGUAAUUGAAAAGGAAUCCAAUAAAUAAUAUAAACUAGA